AGCGAACGCUGGCGGCAGGCUUAACACAUGCAAGUCGAGCGGGCACUUUCGGGUGUCAGCGGCGGACGGGUGAGUAACGCGUGGGAACGUGCCCUCUGGUUCGGAAUAACUCAGGGAAACUUGAGCUAAUACCGGAUACGCCCUUUUGGGGAAAGGCUUGCUGCCGGAGGAUCGGCCCGCGUCUGAUUAGCUAGUUGGUGAGGUAACGGCUCACCAAGGCGCCGAUCCGUAUCUGGUCUGAGAGGAUGAUCAGCCACACUGGGACUGAGACACGGCCCAGACUCCUACGGGAGGCAGCAGUGGGGAAUAUUGGUCAAUGGGCGCAAGCCUGAUCCAGCCAUGCCGCGUGAGUGAUGAAGGCCUUAGGGUUGUAAAGCUCUUUUAUCCGGGACGAUAAUGACGGUACCGGAGGAAUAAGCCCCGGCUAACUUCGUG
rnacentral:rRNA from 1 species